rnacentral:rRNA from 1 species
CCUACGGGGGGCAGCAGUGAGGAAUAUUGGUCAAUGGGCUUACGCCUGAACCAGCCAAGUCGCGUGAGGGAAGACUGCCCUAUGGGUUGUAAACCUCUUUUGUCAGGGAGCAACGUCGGCUACGUGUAGCCGGACUGAGAGUACCUGAAGAAAAAGCAUCGGCUAACUCCGUGCCAGCAGCCGCGGUAAUACGGAGGGGGCAAGCGUUAUCCGGAGUUACUGGGGGGAAAGGGAGCGUAGGUGGCAUGGUAAGCCAGAAGUUAAAACCCGGGGCUCAACCCCGCGGAUUGCUUUUGGAACUAUCAGGCUGGAGUGCUGGAGGGGUAAGCGGAAUUCCUAGUGUAGCGGUGAAAUGCGUAGAUAUUAGGAGGAACACCGGUGGCGAAGGCGGCUUACUGGACAGAAACUGACACUGAGGCUCGAAAGCGUGGGGAGCAAACAGGAUUAGAUACCCUUGUAGUC